rnacentral:rRNA from 1 species
AUCCUACGGGGGGCAGCAGUGGGGGAUAUUGCACAAUGGGGGGAACCCUGAUGCAGCGACGCCGCGUGGGUGAAGGAGCGUUUCGGCGCGUAAAGCCCUAUCGGCAGGGAAGAAGGAGGACGGUACCUGACUAAGAAGCCCCGGCUAACUACGUGCCAGCAGCCGCGGUAAUACGUAGGGGGCAAGCGUUAUCCGGAUUUACUGGGGGGAAAGGGGGCGCAGACGGCAGCGCAAGCCAUGAGUGACAGCCCGGGGCCCAACCCCUGGACUGCUCUUGGAACUGUGCGGCUGGCG